rnacentral:rRNA from 1 species
UGCCAGCCGCCGCGGUAAUACGGAGGGUGCUAGCGUUGUUCGGAAUUACUGGGCGUAAAGAGCGCGUAGGCGGUCUAGUAAGUUGGUAGUGAAAUCCCUGGGCUUAACCCAGGAACUGCUAUCAAAACUAUUAGACUAGAGUAUGGUAGGGGAUAGUGGAAUUCCUAGUGUAGAGGUGAAAUUCGUAGAUAUUAGGAGGAACACCAGAGGCGAAGGCGGAUCUCUGGGGAUGUACUGACGCUCAGGGUCGAAAGCAUGGGGAGCAAACAGGAUUAGAUA